CUCCUCCAUCCCAGGCUCGGGCUCAGCUCAUCCCUCCUCCUCACAGCCCCCAGAAGCGGGCACCUAAGCCUCCCAUGUGCCUGCUGACCUCAGGCCGGUGUGACUGCACCAGGUUGGGAGGAAUGGAGCACUAAAGUUGGAGAACAGAGUCAGACCGUGACAGAGCCCCACGUCUGAGUUUCUGAGGGCUGGGGAAAUUCGAUCAAUAGGGACCGCUGCAAACGUCAGCCUGCACCUGCAGCCAAGCACAGCCGAGCAUCCCCAGGUGCCACCAGAAACAGCUGCCGUACCCAGCAGGAGUGACUGAGUCAUCUCCCCGGGCAUUGCCUGGGCCUGUCCCUCACAUGCCCUGGCAUGUCCCUCACCCUACCACAUGGCUCAAACACCCUGAAGUCUUCAGAAGUGGUGAUAUGCACGUAGAGGAUAGCAGGAGAAAAAGAAGACAGGAGACAAGAUAUAAUAGAAUCAUAGAAUCAUGAAGGCUGGAAAAGACCUUCAAGAUCAGCUAGGCCAACCAUCAACCCAUCACCACCUCUCUCAGCAUUGCCCAGAUACUUUGGAUUGCUCUGUGUAUCUGUUGUACACAAAGAAGCUUUCAGAUGCCAGCCAAACACACGAAGAUUGCAAGAGCAAGAACUUGGACAGCAGUGUAGAUAUCAAAAGAGACGGCAGCUCAGGCAGAAGACAUUAAUUUUUCUGCUAUAAAACUGCCCCCCUUGGACAAUCAGCUCACCUAGAGAUCUACUGCUUGCUCAGAAGAGGCUGUUGUGGACUUCUCUGGGUCCAAGACUUCACCAAUGGCCAGGUGCGAAACUCAGCAGUUGAAGCAAUGGGAAGAAAUGAAUGUUUGUGAAUUUG